rnacentral:rRNA from 1 species
CGUGCCUAACACAUGCAAGUCGAACGAGAUCCAUGGGAGCUUGCUCCCGGAAGAUCUAGUGGCGAACGGGUGAGUAACACGUGAGAAACCUGCCCUGGAGUGGGGAAUAACUCGGGGAAACUCGAGCUAAUACCGCAUACCCUCGGAUGGUCGCAUGGCCGACCGAGGAAAGAUUUAUCGCUCUAGGAGGGUCUCGCGGCCUAUCAGCUAGUUGGUGGGGUAACGGCCUACCAAGGCAACGACGGGUAGCUGGUUUGAGAGAACGAUCAGCCACACUGGGACUGAGACACGGCCCAGACUCCUACGGGAGGCAGCAGUGGGGAAUCUUGCGCAAUGGGCGAAAGCCUGACGCAGCAACGCCGCGUGCGGGAUGACGGCCUUCGUGGUUGUAAACCGCUUUCAGCAGGGACGAAAAUGACGGUACCUGCAGAAGAAGCCCCGGCUAACUACGUG